rnacentral:rRNA from 1 species
UACGUAGGGGGCAAGCGUUAUCCGGAAUUACUGGGUGUAAAGGGUGCGUAGGCGGUAAUGUAAGUCAGAUGUGAAAGCCCGAAGCUCAACUUCGGGACUGCAUUUGAAACUGCAUAACUAGAGUACAGGAGAGGUGAGUGGAAUUCCUAGUGUAGCGGUGAAAUGCGUAGAUAUUAGGAGGAACACCAGUGGCGAAGGCGACUCACUGGACUGUAACUGACGCUGAGGCACGAAAGCGUGGGGAGCGAACAGG